CGCCUCCUGAUAGGAGGUCCAGCCUGCCCAGUGACCAGUUAAACGGCCGCGGUAUCCUAACCGUGCGAAGGUAGCGUAAUCACUUGUUUUUUAAAUAAAGACUAGUAUGAAUGGCACCACGAGGGCUAAACUGUCUCCCCUUUCUAAUCAGUGAACCUAACCUCCCCGUGAAAAGGCGGGAAUUUUAUUAUAAGACGAGAAGACCCUGUGGAGCUUAAAACAUUAAUCACCUGCCAUCUAACCCAAGGUUUUUAACCCAAGCACAAUGUAUAUAUGUUUUUGGUUGGGGUGACCGCGGAGAAUAACUAAUCCCCCGCAAUGAAAGUAACAACAAGCCACAGCUUUAUGUAUCAACAAAUUGACAUCCAUUGACCCAAUAUAUUGAUUAAUGAACCAAGUUACCCCAGGGAUAACAGCGCAAUCCACUUUGAGAGCCCCUAUCGACAAGUGGGCUUACGACCUCGAUGUUGGAUCAGGGUAUCCUAGUGGUGCAGCCUCUACUAAAGGUUCGUUUGUUCAACGAUUAAAA
rnacentral:rRNA from 1 species